GUGACGCGGGUUUGCAGUUUGUUAGGGAGUGCGAGCGGCAGAGAGGCUGCUCACAAUGGAGCCUUUAUCCCGGAGAGUUCCAAUCGGAACGGGUACGAGGUCGGUCAAGUAGCCACCAACUCAGUCCCGGGUCCCAGAUCCUCCCGCUGCUCCUCCACUGCUUCUAAUUCCACCGCUUUGGAUCCAACCAAUGCUGACUCAUGUAUUGAUGACAGAAGAUUGGUUUAAAUUAACAAAGAUGCCUCUUUCAUUGACCCUGAAGAUUGCUGUGCUUAAUGCAGUGGAGCUUUUAUCAGCACAGUACAUAUGUGAUUCAUAACAGAUAAGUAGAAAGUGAUGCUAGGACUCCAUUUGUAUUUCUAAAUUAAUACUAGAUAAUAUUUCAUUUUAAAAAAAGCACAAUCCUUUCUAUAAACUGGCCUGUUAAAUGUUGCAUUAUUGUCAAAAAUAUCUGAAUGUUGAUCUAAAAAAAAAGAGUAGGGGAGCAGUAUGUUACAAGAUUACAAAAGACAAGAGUCAAUACCACAAACAAUAGUGUUUUCAUUGUAAAAUCUGUGUUUAAGAACACACUAAAAUAUUUUACGAUAACUCUUAAAACUCAACUGUUUAGCAGGCAACAAGUCAGAAAUACUUCCUUAAUUCAUGGAAUCCUAUAGAGUGGAAGGAGAUCAUUUGGCCUAUCAAGUCACGCCCUACCCUGUGAGGAGCUUCCUACCCAGGUCCAACCCUUUACCCAAUCCCUGUAACCCUGCAUUUCCCACAGCUAAUCCACCUAGCCUGCACACCCCCUAGACACUACGGACAACUAAGCAUGGCCAGUACACCUAAUCUGCACAUCUUUGGUCUGUGGGAAGAAAAACACACAGACACAUGGAGAACAUGCAAAUUCAAGACAGUUGCCCCGAGAAUGGAAUCGAACCUGUAACCCCACUGCUGUGAGGCAGUAGAGCUAGCCACUGAGUUACUGUGAAUUGCAGUAGUUCCUCUCAGCAUAAUAUGUAUUUAAGAUGUAUCAGAAAAGAGAGACUUAUUUGUACAGCACUUUGCACAAUCACUGGAUGUCUCAAAGUGUCUUGUAGCUAGUGAAGUAUGUCUGAAGUGUAAGCACAGCUGUGAUGUAAGAAAUGGAUAAACAUUUAGUUUUGCAAACAGCAGUCCCAGUUUGAUCAUUGAGAAAGUACUAAUUCAUAAUCAAUUCAGACUUCUGAGGACUAAAGAUCCAUCUUGUAUCCAACUUGCACAUUUAUUUUGUGCUGAGUUUUCUUCACACUAUACAUGUUUCAACUGCGCAAGGGUAGCUUACACUGAAUGGAUCACAGUGUGGCCUAAGCAGAUUGAUUUUUAAAAUUUGUUUCGCUUUUAUCUUUGUCAGCAAGUCCUUGGCCUCUGCUGCUUGUAAUUAUACUCCUGCUUCAAAACAGUCAAAAAUUGUCACAAUGGAAUUUUUUGUUUGGAGCAAACUUGCACCCUAGAACCCUACAUUGGGAGAAGCAACACAGCUUCCAUAUUGCGAAGGAAGAUUGUGGUCUGUACAUCAAAAGUAAAAUACAUGUUUUAUUCUAGCGGCUGUUUUAUACCAGCCUUUCUGUUGUUAUGCCCUCUGAUCGCAUGUAUGUUCACGUACUAUGAUAAAAUUGCACAAGAAAACAUGAAUUCUUUUGUACUACCUAAAGUACAAAGUUGUAAUCUGGAACAGUAAACAAUUUUGACAUAUCCAGUGAUACUGAAAAGGACAGAUUACAUUUAACAUAUCGCAACUGACUAAAAUAAGGGGCAAUAUAAAGAUAAUCUUUAUUUCCUGUUUUCCCCUGCAAUCACAUUUUUGCUGAUUUGGCAAUUCUGUUGUCGGACCACAUUGAGAUGUUUUCCCAACCCAGUCCAAAUUUAGCUUCUACAGCUAUGCUUGAAAUUACAAAAUUUGUCAUAAUGGAUUAAAUGUAAAAGGUUUUGGGACUUGUCACAAUACACUUGGACUACAUUGCAGUGCUUAUAAUUAUAAAACUAAAUGAGUAGAGACUUGUUCAUGUAUGUCGUCAGUAAGAUUAAGCUGUGCAUUUAAUUCUCAAUAUUGGACGCUUAAUCACUGGCUGUUUCUCCUUGUAUUUUGAUUGAAUAUUUAAUACUGAAACUCUAGAAUUUUUUUUAAAAUUAGGCUGGCACAGAAUUUCUAGUAUUUAAAACAUUAGCAAGAUCACUUGUGGAAGUGAGUAAUAUUCAUGCUUUUAAUCCUACAAGAUCAAAACUGUAAACAUUUCUGCUUCUAUUAUUAAAUCAUUUGGUCUAUUAAUUCAUGCUUUGUUGCAAGUGUAUUUCAAUACUAAUCCUAUUGCUUUCUUGUCUUCCCAUAGCCGUGUGUUUUCCUAAUUUAAAAAUUGAGCUGCAGGUUGUAUCAUUAAGUGAAUAAAACAUGUAGGCAACAGAACAUUUUAUUCUAUAGUGGUUCUGAAUGCAAGUUGUAAAAUAUUUAAUAAAAGUCUUAAUUUUGGUUUUAAAUUAAACUGAAAAGCCCAAAUAGACAUCCAACAUAAUAAAACUGGAAAAUGCUGGAAAAAUUCAGCAGGUCUGGUAGCUUAUGUGGAGAGAGACACAAUUCUGAAGAAGUUUUUAGACUUGAAACAUUCAUUCUUGUUUGUCCCUUCACAGAUACACUCGGACCUAACUGAGUUUCUGGUGGCACUUUGUUUUUAUUUUGGAUUUCCAGCAUCUGCAUUCUUUUUGUUUGAUUUAACAUCAGUUAAUAACAUGAUUUCUUUUUGAAAAUUAGUAUGACAGAUGUGUAGAAUUGUUUAAAAUUAAAGUAAAUUAUGGUUAUAAACUCUGUUCUCAAAUUUUGUCAUCAUAUAGAUCAACGUAUAUGUUAUGAUUUGUAUAGUUUUUACAAUAGUGCUGCACUGACUUGCACAAAAUACACAACUGAUCAGUCAUCACCUGAAAGAAAAGUAGAAGUUAAUGUUGCAAAUGAAAACUUGCAGUGAAUGAAGGCCUCAUCUUAAAAUGUUGACUUGUCUUUUUUCACUUUCAUACGUUUACUAAUUUUCACCUUAAAAAAAAUUGAGAAACUCAUGCGAAUUGUAUUGAACAAACCUAAGUUUAGAAAGAAGAGCAAUUAAAUUGGGAACUACUUUUUUUUCAGUCUGUACGGUGCGCUGUAGGAAGAACAGAGGAAAGGAUCUAUUGAUCACUAAUGAUAAAAAGCAGACUUGUUAAAUGAGUUGAAGGUCAACUGUGUGAAAUUGAAUAAUGGCAUUAUAUUUACCUAGUACAUUUCACAGAAACAUUACAAAUAAAAAUAUGAAGAACAGUUUAAAAAAAGUCUUCACUAGAUGUGGGCAUCACUGAGUGGACCUGCAUUUAUUGGCUAUACUCAGUGAAUUGAAUAAGAAAUGCUGAUCUAGCCAGUGAUCGCCAUAUCCUGUGAACAAAUAAAUAUGCAAGUGCCGUGGUAUCUUAUUUUGUUCUAUGAUGCUCCUAUGAAGUAUCUUUUUUAGUACAUUAAUGGCACUAUAUGGAAAUCAUAGGGCAGAUGACCAUAAAACUAGGUCGGACGUGUUUUUAAAGGAGCAUCUUGCAAGAAGAAAAUGCAGUAGAAAAGUGGACCCAUUUAGGGAGGGAUUUCUGGAGUUAAGGCCAAGGCAACUUAAGGCAUAUCCACCAUUGGUGGAACAAUUUAAAAUCAACUAUUUCAGGCCAGACAUGGAAGAGCAUGUGCUUUGAAUGGUUGUAGGCCUGGAUGAGAUUCCACAGACUGAGGGACAACCAUGAAGGAGUUUGAAAACAAGGAUGAGAAUUUUAAAAAUCAAGAUAUUGCCUCAAUGGAAUGUUCAUCAGGAAGUUUUCCAUGGACGCUGCCUGACUUGCUGUGAUUUUCGGCGUUUAAAAAAAAUACAAGGCACACGUUGGGACACAGGCAGGAGAGUUUUAAGUGAUUUCCCGUUUAGAGAGGAUUGAACAUGGAAAGCUGGUCAGGAGUCAAGCUGAGAUAAUUUUGAGCAUGGAUAAAAGAUUUCAGCUGCUCAGAAUGUGUUAAAGUGAAAUGGAGUUCAGUGAUAUUGAAGACUUGGAUAUUCUUCACGGGUUCAGAUACAAUACACAUAGUUGGCAGGUACAGGAACAGUGUAUUUUCAAGUCUGAAACUAAUCAGUACUAAAGUGAUAAGUGCAAUGCCUGUCUUGGAUAUGUAACAAAUAUUCAAACGUUGGGCAGAUUUGGCUUGAUAAGAGUCAUGAGGAAGUGAAAUGAGGGUGGAAAAUAUCUGACAGGAAAAAUUACACUAAAUGUAGCUAAUCUAACAAUGGUGAUGUGACAGUUCCUCACUCUGCAUGUGGAACUACCAAUUUUGAUAAAGAUGAAGGAAUAUUACGGAUACAGCCUCCGAAGGUAGGCGAUCAUUGUUAUGUUAAAAUUCGUAAAGGCAUGAGUAAACUGUUUCUUUUGAACAGAGUGAAACAAGAUUUUUAUUCAGCCAUUGACUGUCACGGAAGAAAUGAGGAAGUCAUUCAACCACUACACUGAGAGCACAUUUUUGGGAUGAGGCUGUGCAAAUUACCAAUUUAACACUUCCUUCAUUUUCUGUUUAGAUUUCAUGGUUCAACAUUUUUGAUUUUUCCUUUUUUAAUUUUAUCUGAGAGUCUGUUUUAACAAGACUUGGUUAAUUUUGGAAGGGGAAUGCCCUUGGAUUGUGCACCAAACGUAGGCCAUUUUUUUUCAAAGUAUCUGUGUAUUUAUGCACUGCCUGUGCCAAUUCAAUUGCUAAUUUUUGUUAAUUUAACCCAAUCUUCUAAUCAACCUGUUCAGCAAUGUUAAACACAUCUGGAGCAGGUGGGACUUGAACUGAGGACUCCCAGGUUCAGGGCAUGGACAUUACCCCUACACGUGUGAGAGGGCCUAUGACAGUACUCUUAACUAACUGAUUAAAUGUCAGCUGACAAAUUAGAUGUAUCACAUUUUGCAAAUAACUUCAAGGCACAAGAAUUGUUGCCCAACAAGUUUUCCUUGAAUGUUGUCCAGCUUUUCUUGACAAUGUGUGGGCGGUUUGCCCCAAAAACUUCAACCUUUUGUUUUUAACAGCUGAAAUUUUAAUUUUCUAUUCAUAGUUUUGGGAAUCAUUUUACAUCAGUUGGAAAUUACUAAGAACAAUUUGCAGACAAGUUUAUGUAUAGUACUGUCUAUUGGGGUUGGUUGAUAAUGGAACCUUAAUGUCUAUCGGCACUUGCACUACCAUUUUAAUUUUUUUUUCCAAUUUAAAAUUUUCCAAAAUACCUGAAUGCCACAAAAUUGCUUGUUUAUGGUUGUGAUAAUCUAAAAUAGUCACCUGCAUAUAUUCAAUAAUUGGUUUACUUGGGUCAUUUUAUAUCAACUGCAUCAGAAAAUUUGAUUACCAGUGCUGCUGCCAAGUAGGAUCUGUUUUAUAUCAUGAGGAAUUAAGAAACCAAGUAUCCUUUUGAGUAAUUAAAUACUAAGGAAAACUAAAAUAACUUUGUGGCAAGCAUUAUGAAUACUUGAGUUACAAGGUUCUAAAGAAGUUGCUUUUGAUUGAUGCUGACUCUUAGUAAGUUUGCAAUUCAGAUGUACUGUUCAUGUCACAAUAAAUGUUUUGUUCAUUUUUACUGUGUCAUGUGCCUCUACUUUACCU